rnacentral:rRNA from 1 species
GAUGAACGCUGGCGGCAUGCCUAAUACAUGCAAGUCGAACGAGAGGAAGGAAAGCUUGCUUUUCUGAAUCUAGUGGCGAACGGGUGAGUAACACGUAGGUAACCUGCCCAUGUGCCCGGGAUAACUUCUGGAAACGGAUGCUAAAACCGGAUAGGUAGCAGACAAGCAUUUGACUGCUAUUAAAGUGGCUAAGGCCAUGAACAUGGAUGGACCUGCGGUGCAUUAGCUAGUUGGUGAGGUAACGGCCCACCAAGGCGACGAUACAUAGCCGGCCUGAGAGGGCGGACGGCCACAUUGGGACUGAGACACGGCCCAAACUCCUACGGGAGGCAGCAGUAGGGAAUUUUCGUCAAUGGGGGGAACCCUGAACGAGCAAUGCCGCGUGAGUGAGGGAGGUCUUCGGAUCGUAAAGCUCUGUUGUAAGAGAAAAACGACAUUCAUAGGGAAUGAUGAGUGAGUGAUGGUAUCUUACCAGAAAGUCACGGCUAACUACGUGCCAGCCGCCGCGGUAA